UGGGGAAUAUUGCACAAGGGAGGGAACUCGGAUGCAGCGACGCCGCGUGAGUGAUGAAGGAAUUCGUUUCGUAAAACUCUGUUCUAUGGGAAGAAAAGGACUGUACCAUAGCAGAAAGCUCCGGCUAAAUACGUGCCAGCAGCCGCGGUAAUACGUAUGGAGCGAGCGUUGUCCGGAAUUAUUGGGCGUAAAGGGUGCGCAGGCGGCUUUACAAGUUGGAUGUGAAAUAUUGUGGCUCAACCACAAACGUGCAUCCAAAACUGCAAAGCUUGAGUUAAGGAGAGGUAAGUGGAAUUCCUGGUGUAGCGGUGGAAUGCGUAGAUAUCAGGGGGAAUACCGGUGGCGAAGGCGACUUACUGGACUUAAACUGACGCUCAGGCACGAAAGCGUGGGGAACAAACAGG
rnacentral:rRNA from 1 species